AUUUAGUAUCAUAAAGGAGAUGCCUGUACGUAUAUCUCAAUUUGUUCUCUUGACCUAGAGAAGAAGAGGAAAGGCAGCCUCAUCAAGCUGCUGGAUAGCAGCUGAUAAAUUCCUCAUGCGGAGGGAUCUAGAGAAGUUGAAGGAAUGUGCCGUCAGAAACCAUAUGGAAUUCAAGAAGAACAAUUGCAAAUCCUUUUUUCCAGCAUGGACUAUCCCUAUGUAAUUGUAAUGCCUCAGGAUUGACUAGACAGAUAGAAGUUCUGCUGAAAAGAACCAUGAAGUCAUGUGGUACUGAUGGACAGAAGGCUGAACAGGAAACAGGAUUACAUCCCAUUCGAAAAGAAGGCUAACAGUAUAAUGACUGAAACCACCAUGAGUGUAGCCAUUUAAUUAAGGGAAGUGAGUGAUUGCUUGGCCACAUCUGAAAUUCUACACCCAUAUGUGUCCUGCAUUUCCCUACACCAUCCCUGAACCUCCCAAACCAGGAAGAUUGUUAUAAACUUGAGGAAGUUAUUUGGAGGCCAGUAAGUUAGUCACAGAGCUGAGACCCAUGAGGGCUAUAAGGAGAGACUGAGAAAACAUGGUGUAUUUACUCUGGAGAAAAGAAUCUGGGUGCGGUGAUGGGGAGACCUAAUACCUUCCAGUAUCUGCAAGCUAUUCAGGGGAUAGAACUAAGCCUCUACAGUGGUGCACGGAUGAAAAAUGUGCAACUAUGAUAAUAAAUGGAAAGAAGUAAGGUUUCAGCUGGGCAUAAUGAGGAAAAAAAAAUCAAAUAACCAUUCAAUUUAAAUCAAUUUAAUCAAUUAAAAAUUGAUUAAUUAAUCUCUGG
ensembl:lncRNA